ACUCCUACGGGAGGCAGCAGUGGGGAAUAUUGGACAAUGGGGGACCCUGAUCCAGCCAUGCCGCGUGUGUGAAGAAGGCCUUAUGGUUGUAAAGCACUUUAAGCGAGGAGGAGGCUACUGAGACUAAUACUCUUGGAUAGUGGACGUUACUCGCAGAAUAAGCACCGGCUAACUCUGUGCCAGCAGCCGCGGUAAUACAGAGGGUGCGAGCGUUAAUCGGAUUUACUGGGCGUAAAGCGUGCGUAGGCGGCCAUUUAAGUCAAAUGUGAAAUCCCCGNGNUUAACUUGGGAAUUGCAUUCGAUACUGGAUGGCUAGAGUAUGGGAGAGGAUGGUAGAAUUCCAGGUGUAGCGGUGAAAUGCGUAGAGAUCUGGAGGAAUACCGAUGGCGAAGGCAGCCAUCUGGCCUAAUACUGACGCUGAGGUACGAAAGCAUGGGGAGCAAACAGAUUAGAUACCCUGGUAGCUACGAGU
rnacentral:rRNA from 1 species